rnacentral:sRNA from 1 species
UGACAUUGGUCCACGUCAAGACUGAUGGC